CGGGCGCGCGCGGCCGUUUCCCGCCCACGGGCGGCCGCUGGGCUCCCUGAGGGGAGUGGGGGUCUGCCUCAGGCCGGAGCCGCCCCAAGCAUACCUAUAAACAGCAAACAGCGGAAAACAACACAAAAACAAACAAACAAAACCACGCGCAACAGCUCUUACUUUGUUCAGGCUGCGGGAAACAGUGCCAGGACGAAAAGAGGCGGCUAGAAUAAUCCUCUGCAGCUGCAGCCCAGCGCCAGGCCCAGGCAUUCAUGAAUAUUUUAAUUACUUCUUUUUGUUCCCCGACUUUUGGACAAAAAUACGGCAACAUUUUCAAGCCUAUGGAAGUCUAUGGAAGCAUCUGACUUAAAACCUUCUGACGUAACUAUUUUGAUCGCACAAUCAUCCAUCGUUUAGAGAAGAACUUCACAGCCUAAUUGUGAGUCAGCCCAGAACAUUUAAGUAUCCUUACUGAGAUGGGAAUUUGAAUGAGGAAAAAUGGUCCAUUUCCAGGGGAGAUGAAUUGAAGACCCUAUCACGUGUCACUGAUGGCAUCUCUACGCUGGGUUACUGGUUUUCUGUGAGUAUGUGUGGGUUCAUCUUACCAUUUAUCAGCCACCAUGCACAGAGGUCACAAGUCCCCUGCCUCAUUAAAAGACAGUGAGCCAAUUGAAAAACAACUCCGUUCUCCCUUGGGGCAUCUGAACAUAUGGUGCAGGAGUAGUAUGGUUAAUUUUGAAACAGUCAGAUCUGGGAAGAGGCUAAACAGUUGGACAAAAAGUGGGUAAUGUAACUAGAUACUCAGAGAGAUAACUCUUGUCAGCCGAUUUUCCUGUUUUGACAACAGAAUUGGUAGGCUACAGCUUCAAGCUUCUCAGGGUGUCUCAUGAACUGAGAAGGAAAGACAGUAAGUUACAGUACUAAAAGCUAUAGUGGAACAAUAAAAACAGAAAUGUGACCCUGCUCCCAUGUGGAAAUGUCUCAGAGCUUCAUAAAAUCAACAGCAACUGAAUAUACAGUGCUGGCAUACAAAGACACAGAACAUGAUGUAGGAGCAUUGUAGUAUCAGCAUGUUUGUUACUGUCAGAAAACACAAUGACAGAAGAGAAAUUUGUUGAUUGACUCCUUACAGAUCUGCCACAUUAAAUGUUAAUAAAUUGCACAAUACAGGCUUGUUACAAUUUCUAUUCCACAACUUACAGACAUUGUCUGAGUAGGAAGGGUGCUGGCUGGUAUAAUGCUUUUUGCAAUGACAUGAAAAUAUGUUGCCAAUUCCUGUUAUUCAGAUUACUUUUUUCUCAGACUUUUUUUUUACAUGCAAAUAUUCAAAAAAAAAAAAAAAAAGGUUUAACUUCUUGCUGCUCUGUUAAUCCUUCUUUUAUGCUGGGAAGCUGCUGUUGUGUCAUGGACACGUUUUGUCCAUGAGAAUGUCUUUGAGCUAUCAUUCUGUAUAUCCUUUUCCAAGCUAAGGAACUGCAAUACUUUCAUCCAACUUUAAAAAUAAAGUAGUCACUAAAACUUUUAUACUUGAAUGCAGACCUUAAGGAUUUUGUUUAGAAUGAUCCUCUAGGGAACACAGUGAAAACAGUAUCUCUUGAGACAACAAUGGAGAAGCUUUCACCAGCACUGAGAAUGCAGCUAUUCAUUGCUUCUGCAGCCAAAUAAAUGCUCUCUGGUUGGAAGCACCUUAUAUUCAAUAAAAAAAAAAAACACACUUUUUUUUAUUCUUCCCCCCUUCACCUCCCCCCCAUGUCAUGGUCUGUGAUGAAUAUUUAAUUGAUUCUGGUUAACUGAAAGACAGAAAAGUUAGCCAACAUGGAAUACGACUUCAAAUAAAAGGAUACUUUACUGCAUCAUGACAUAGUCUCACACUAAUGUAAAUAAUGUUGUAGAAUGGAGAGCAGCACUUUUC